UACGGGGGGGGGCAAGCGUUGUUCGGAAUUACUGGGCGUAAAGGGCUCGUAGGCGGCCAACUAAGUCAGACGUGAAAUCCCUCGGCUUAACCGGGGAACUGCGUCUGAUACUGGAUGGCUUGAAUCCGGGAGAGGGAUGCGGAAUUCCAGGUGUAGCGGUGAAAUGCGUAGAUAUCAGCAGGAACACCCGUGGCGAAGGCGGCUUCCUGGAUCACCCCUGACGCUGAGACGCGAAAGCGUGGGGAGCGAACAGG
rnacentral:rRNA from 1 species